GGCGAAGUGGCCGAGUGGUUAAGGCGCUGUGUUUAGGCCGCAGUGGGAAACCUCGCGAGUUCGAAUCUCGUCUUCGUCA
rnacentral:tRNA from 1 species